CAAGUGGGUUAGUGGGAACGCGACGCAGAAACGGAUAACUUUUAACCCGGAUAUGUUUUAACCCAGGCCAGUGGAAAGACUGCCUAAGCUUUGAGACCUGACAGAUAUGUACAUAUCUCACGAUUUAUCUCAGCAAGAACGAAUUAAGUUGUUAUCAUGUUAAUACAGCGAUAACACGAGGCAUGGACUUACAUGAAAUCAAACUUGCUAUCUAAGACCAGAACGACCAAACUAGUUAUAAAAAAGGGUCUUCCUACCUUAUUUGAAUCAAAAUUCGUACUCCAGUAAAAACCCUUUCCUUAUGACCCUUGAAAGCCCAAGUUGUUAAGGUUCAAAGAUACUUAUUUUCCAAUGAUUCUUUCAUUUAUUAAAUGAUUCAUCCAUGUCUUUAUCUACGUCAUUACGAGACUUCUAUUGCGGCCUAAAAAACCACCCAUCAACACAUUAAGAAAAGGUGAUAAAAACAGAUAAAAUAUCACUUGACUGUUUGCAAAAAAGAUCCCGACCUGAAGAAGAUGAUGGAAUAAAUUAUUAAUGAAUAUACACACAUCUGUGUUUAAGAUUAUCCCUGAUAUUGAUUUAAUAACAACACAGGUGAAACUCGGACCUUUAAAGGGGGUAAGGAAAUAAUCCGACCUAUCCAGGGUAUGACUUUUCACUUGAAAUACGGCGAGAAAAUCCAAUGGGAAGCGAAAAUCAGGCCGACCACGUGAAAGUCCGAGUAAUCCAGGGUAUGACUUUUGACUUGUAAUACGGCAGGAAAACCCAAUGGGAAGCGAAAGUCAGGCCGACUAAGUAAAAGUCUGAGAUAUCAAGGGUAUGGCUUAACGUGAUUCAAUUUUGGCAUUCUUUUGUUGCAUCCAAUUUUAAAAACUGUGGCUAUUUUACGAGAAGAAAAUCUCCCCUUUUGUGAAACCAGCUUGUCAGCCAAUAUAAAGUCGGAUUAAUUCUACACGACUUAACUCUUUUUUGGCACUGAGUGUUGGAUUACAAAUUCAAGUUAACAGAUUUAUAUAGAUGUAUUUAGCACAAGAAAUCGCAUUGAAUGCCUUGAUCGCUUACCCUACCUUUGAUAUGCCUCAUGAAGCGAAACAAAGCAUCAUCAAUCUCAACAGCAAUAUACUUAAUGACACUGCCAAACAGCCUGUUCUCAAAGCAAUACCACACUACAUCGUUGAGCACAUACAUGAGUGCUCUUGGAUCCGCAAGGCAACUCAACGAGUUCCAACCAUAGUGUUAUCUUACAUUGCCGUUGCAGCAAGAAAGAAAGUUAGUCGGUGCUCUUGGGAUAUAAAGCAACUGCCAAUGAAUCAACCUGCUGUGCGGGCUUAUCAAUUAUACAAUAUUAGGCUUAUCAAUUAUACAAUAUGAUCGUUAAUUCGAUUCGGUGGCAACUUUUUUCAUAUUGAUGGAUUGAACGUAUUCAAACAGGUUAUGCAAUAUUAAUUUCAAUACCACAUGACGUCACGCUUAGACGUCCUAAUAGGAAAAUGAUCCUUUCUACGGAACUCACGUUGUCAUUUUUAUGAAUAUGCGUUUUUUAUUGAUAAGGCAUUGCGGUGAACUUUCAAGGCCUUCGGUCUUCGCACGAUGUAACUGAAAACAUACGCGCUCAAAGAUAGCAAAAAUAUUCUAAAGUGCCCACAACAAAUAUUAGUUAGCUAAUAACGAGGAGGUUUUCAAGGAUCAUGGUGGGCCAUAGCAGAGAAAAGAGGUCGAGAAAAGACACUAAGAACAAGGCUGACAGCUUGGAGCGGUUAUAUGUAAAAGAGGGUCGCAAUUUUGAAGAAAAUAAAGUCUGGUGCUAAUAAGAAACUCCUGAAUAUAUUUGACAGUUUUUACACUAAAAAAGCUGUCAAUCAACGAAACAUCAUGAAGCACACGCACAGGCCGAGGAUUAGACAGCUGUCAAUCAAUAGUCUUCCAUUCAGCACUUUAGGUCAACAAAAUAUCAACAACAACUCUUUUGCAACUCUACCAUUCCUCUUUCACAUCUACAUUAGACUUU